CCGCGGUAAUUCCAGCUCCAAUAGCGUAUAUUAAAGUUGUUGCAGUUAAAAAGCUCGUAGUUGAAUUUCGGGAUCAAUAUGUUGGUCGUGCCUUUGGUACGUACUAGCUUAUUGAUUUCUCCCUUCUGACGAACCAUGAUGUCAUUAAUUUGGUGUCAUGGGGAAUCAGGACUGUUACUUUGAAAAAAUUAGAGUGUUUAAAGCAGGCUUACGCUUGAAUAUAUUAGCAUGGAAUAAUGAAAUAGGACGUUUUGAUUCUAUUUUGUUGGUUUCUAGGAUCGACGUAAUGAUUAAUAGGGAUAGUUGGGGGCAUUAGUAUUCAAUUGUCAGAGGUGAAAUUCUUGGAUUUAUUGAAGACUAACUACUGCGAAAGCAUUUGCCAAGGAUGUUUUCAUUAAUCAAGAACGAAAGUUAGGGGAUCGAAGACGAUCAGAUACCGUCGUAGUCUUAACCAUAAACUAUGCCGACUAGGGAUCGGAUGAUGUUAAUUUUUUAAUGACUCAUUCGGCGCCUUACG
rnacentral:misc_RNA from 1 species